AGCGAACGCUGGCGGCAGGCCUAACACAUGCAAGUCGAACGAACCUUUCGGGGUUAGUGGCGGACGGGUGAGUAACACGUGGGAACGUGCCUUUAGGUUCGGAAUAACUCAGGGAAACUUGUGCUAAUACCGAAUGUGCCCUUCGGGGGAAAGAUUUAUCGCCUUUAGAGCGGCCCGCGUCUGAUUAGCUAGUUGGUUGAGGUAAUGGCUCACCAAGGCGACGAUCAGUAGCUGGUCUGAGAGGAUGAUCAGCCACAUUGGGACUGAGACACGGCCCAAACUCCUACGGGAGGCAGCAGUGGGGAAUCUUGCGCAAUGGGCGAAAGCCUGACGCAGCCAUGCCGCGUGAAUGAUGAAGGUCUUAGGAUUGUAAAAUUCUUUCACCGGGGACGAUAAUGACGGUACCCGGAGAAGAAGCCCGACUAACUUCGUG
rnacentral:rRNA from 1 species